UUUAUCAUUAUGUUUUUUUUAAAAAAACAACCUGGGCACUGCAAAACACCUAAAAAGUAAAAAAAAAGCACCAAAAUCCUAAAUCCAAUGUUCUUUUUCAGAGUUUAAAGAGUGAAGAAAUUAAAGUUCUGUUUUAGUUUCAGUUUCAGUACGAGGUGAUCAUCCAUCAGUUUAUGAAUUUUUUGGUGUUGUCAGAACAAGGAAGUUAAUUUAAAGCCUUUAGGGUUGAAGAAAAACUUGAAUCAAUGGGUUUUGUGAUUGUAAUAUCACUACCAUUGAUUCUCUUCAUCCUCAUUGCAGCCCUUGCUUGUUACCUCUUUGGUAAGUCUCGAGGCCGUCGAGAAGCCGCCAUGGUUCCACCAUAUUAUGGACCACCACCACCAGCACCUCCUCCCGGAGUCCUUUCUCCGCCACCCCAAAAAUAACAUUUGUAAAUGUCAUGUAGUUAAAAUUUGAGCAAUACCUUUGUUUGUUUAUUUGGGCAAAAUGAUUGUUAUAAAGGCCAAAAGUGAAUAUUAA